UCUUCCGUAGUAUAGUGGUCAGUAUGUGAGCUUGUCAUCCCUUUGGGGGUUAUUCGCUCGAGACCCGGGUUCAAUUCCCGGCGGGAGAG